GCCGGGUGUUGUGGUGGGCACUUGUAAUCCCAGCUACCUGGGAGGCUGAGGCAAGAGAAUCACUUGAACCCAGGAGUUUGAGGUUGCUGUGAGCUAAGACACCACAGCACUGUACUGAGGGUGACAGAGUAAGACUCUGUCAAAAAAUAAAUCACAUUUAAGGAUAUUAGAUGUCAUUUUGAAUAAACAAUUUUAGCAUAAUUAAUUUUUUUUUUUUGAGACAGUCUCACUGUGUGGCCCUCAGUAGAGUGCUGUGGCAUCACAGCUCACAGCAACCUCAAACUCUUGGGCUUAAGAUAUUCUCUUGCCUCAG
rnacentral:SRP_RNA from 1 species